AGUUCUCUGUCAAACUCAGAAAAUCUCUCUCUCUCAACCCUCAUCGUCCUCAACCUUUGCUCACCUCUCACAACCUCUCAUUCACUCACCUCUCACGACCUCGUCAAUCUUAACCCUCGUCACCCUCGAUGAAUCUCUCUCAAAAUCUCGAACUCAAUCAAGUAAUAAAGCAAUGGCUGAACAAAAACUAACCUUCGGCGGUGACAACGGCAACGAUGAAGCUCACAGGGUUACAAAUUGGUGCCCUUGUGUUCAAAAGUAACUCUGCAAAGCACUUUGGAUGCUCAGAAAUUGGAUUGACCUUUUCCAUGUUAGAUUCAAGAAAAGUAAAAAAAAUGGUGAGCUUGGUUUGCUGCAAUCUUAUUCAUGUUUGGUAGGUUGUGGACAUGGUUGAAGGUUUGAGUUU